GACGAACGCUGGCGGCGUGCCUAAUACAUGCAAGUUGAGCGCUGAAGGUUGGUACUUGUACCGACUGGAUGAGCAGCGAACGGGUGAGUAACGCGUGGGGAAUCUGCCUUUGAGCGGGGGACAACAUUUGGAAACGAAUGCUAAUACCGCAUAAAAACUUUAAACACAAGUUUUAAGUUUGAAAGAUGCAAUUGCAUCACUCAAAGAUGAUCCCGCGUUGUAUUAGCUAGUUGGUGAGGUAAAGGCUCACCAGGCCGAUGAUACAUAGCCGACCUGAGAGGGUGAUCGGCAACGUUGGUACUGAGACACGGCCCAAACUCCUGCGGGAGGCAGCAGUAGGGAAUCUUCGGCAAUGGAAGAAAGUCUGAACGUGCAACGCCGCGUGAGUGAAGAAGGUUUUCGGAUCGUAAAACUCUGUUGGUAGAGAAGAACGUUAGUGAGAGUGGAAAGCUCAUCAAGUGACGGUAACUACCCAGAAAGGGACGGCUAACUACGUG
rnacentral:rRNA from 1 species